rnacentral:lncRNA from 1 species
UGCUUAGUAAAGGUUAUGCUGACAUACCUGGUUUCCGUAGGGGUACACGAAAUCAGCAGUCAGCUCGACGUAGUUGCCCUUCAUGACACCAGCGGGCCUCCCUUAAUCCAUACAUGGUGCUGCCUUUGGCACCCUCCUGCAGGUAAUCUGUUACACUACACCAAACAUGACAAGCAACGAUAGGAAUUAUUCAGGAAACACCUCCAAACAACAAAAUCUAAUAAGAUUUAUCCUCAGAUUUUCCAUCAGAAAAGAGAUUGACAGUGCACUAAGAGCUCUCCGAUUCAAUUAUAAACGCCGAUUUUCAAUUUCAGUUGGCCUCAACUAUUGCUAAAUGAACGUACAGCUAGAGAUCAGUCGCACUUACCAAAGAAGUCGAUUCAUUGUCCCCCUGGAACCUGGCCACCAGGAAGCACGAUGCCGAUCUUGAGCGGCUUCGUCGCGACGGGCUCGGCCGACGGCAGCACGGCCGUGGACAGCGGCCGUGCAGGCUGGAGAACAGCUUGGCUAUCUCGUCUGCGAGAUCGAAUGACGACCAUCAAAUCCCAAAUUCAAACCCACCCAGCCCACGAUCCGUCAGGCAAGAUCCGGGAAGGACGCAACCCAGGAAAGAGGGCGUUCAUUACUCACCGGGGCUUCUAGCGGCGGUGCUGGCCGGCUCGUCGGCGAGCGUGAAGUGGGAGCGGAGGACGGAGGGGAGGGGCAGCGUGUGCGCGAUGCGGCUCGUCUGCACCUCGCUGUAGAUGGAUGCAAGGCGCCUGGGCACCGGCGCGUUGUUAGCCCGGAACUACUGAGACCAGAGGGUCCUGACUAUCUAACGGUAGUACUUGCACUCAACUCACUAGUAACACACGCACUCACUAGUGCAACACAAGACACAUACACACACACCAAGAGGAGUACUGCUUCAGGCUGAUUGCCUUGCUUUGAUUGGAAUGGAAUGAUCUUACAGCGACGGGCAUCGGUCCUUUAUAUAGCCUACUGAACCGACUAUAGUACGUACGUGCUGAUGUCAAUUACCUAAGUGACAUCAUGGCUGACCUACAAUAGUAGAAAACCAAAAUGGUCUUGCCAAACUUACUGCUACUCCCUUCGUAGUUAAGUAAUACUACCCUGGUGCAUGCAUGUUGCCGACAUGCAGCCUUCGGAGACAAGUUUGACACAACAUUCUCCCUCUCAAACUUGUCGAAGGAGCUUGGUGUCGAUGAUCCCAACCUUGUCGCACAACUCCUGAAACCGGACACGACCAAGUGACUUGGUCAGGAUGUCCGCUUCUGCUCACCAGUCCGGAUGAACUCCACGAUAACCGUGCCUUUCUCGACGCAGUCACGUAUGAAGUGAUAGCGGAGAUCGAUGUGUUUGCUGCGGCCGUGAAGCACUGGAUUCUUGCAAAGGGAAAUCGCCGACUUGUUGUCGACGAAGAUGAGCGCAGGGGCGGUGUCCUGAUUCAGCAUCUCGCCGAGAAGGCGAGCAAGCCAAAUGCCUUGACAGCCCGAUGUAGCUGCCGCGAUGUACUCCGCCUCGCACGAAGAUACGGCGACAACCUUUUGCCUCACCGAUUGCCAGCUGACGGGACUAUUCCCGAGAAGGAAUAGUAUGCCCGAGGUGCUCUUCCGGGAGUCCACAUCACCAGCGUGGUCGGAGUCGCUCUACCCGACCAAGCUUUCGCCGUCACCACGACGAUACACGCAUCCAUGCAUGAGCGUUCCCGCGAUGUACCGGAGCAGGUGCUUGACGGCAAUGAGGUGAUCGCUUGCCGGAGCUUCCAUGAACCUACUCAGGUAUCCGACAACGAACGUGAUGUCCGGUCGGGUGUGCACGAGGUACCUGAGACUCCCGAUGAUGCUACGAUAGAGUGUGGCAUCCACCGCCUUCUCGGGGCUCUCCUUGCUGAGCUUCAGCCGUGCAUCUAUUGGAGCGUGCACGGCAUGGUAGUCCUUCAUGCCUGCUCGCUCGAGCAUCUUGGUGGCAUAGGCCGUCUGCGUGAUCGUGAUGCGACCACCCUCCUGGUUCACCUCCAGCCCGAGGUAGUACCGAAGCAGCCCAAGGUCGCUCAUGCUGAAGAGACGAUGCAUCUCUCCCUUGAAGCGUUGAACCUCGUCAGGCUCUGCCCCGGCAAUGACCAGGUCGUCGACGUAGAUGCCGAUGAUGAGCAGCAUGUUCGUGGUGCCACGCGAGUACACACCGUGCUCAGAAGCGCUGCGUGAGAACCCACGGGAUGUGAGGCUUGCAUCGAGUUUGGCGUUCCACGCCCUUGGGGCUUGCCGGAGACCAUACAGGGCCUUGUGUAGUCGAUGCACGCCCUGCUCGUGGCCCUUGGCAACGAACCCGGGUGGCUGGGAGACGUACACCUCCUCUUUAAGGUCGCCAUUGAGAAACGCCGACUUGACGUCCAUGUGGUGUACCUCCCACCCGCAGUGAGCGGCCACGGCAAGGAUGAGCCGCACGGACUCCAAUCUUGCCACCAGAGCAAAGACUUCCUCGAAGUCCACUCCCUCACGCUGCACAUAGCCCUUUGCGAUGAGGCGCGCCUUGUGCUUGACAAUGGCGCCGUGCUCGUCCUUCUUCACCUUGAACACCCACUUGAGCCUGAUGGCUCGGUGCCCAGCAGGCAGUGUGGUGAGUGUCCAAGUGGCGUUGUCAUUGAUCGACGCCAGCUCGUCCAGCAUCGCGUGGCGCCAGCAAUCCUCUUGCUCGGCCUCCGCGAACGUGGUCGGCUCCUCGCCGGCCAUCAGAUGUAGGACCUCAUCGUCAUCAGCGUCCUCAUCCUCGGGUUGUUGCGGUAUUGCCGCAACCUGGCCGAGGAGAUCCCCCAUACGCCCGAACCUGUGGGGGGAGCCAACACUGUCGUCGGCGUCGAACAACUCCGAUCUCGCCGUUGGCGGGGUUGCGAACUGCCUCCCGGGACCUACCUUGCUUGACGUCGGGGUGUCUGGGGACACCGUACCCGGGGACGGUGUUUUCGGGGUUGCAGUUCCUGGAUCCACACCUCUCGGGCUUCCCAGCGUGGCAAUUCCCGAGGUCUUGCUUCCCGAGGUUGUAGAGUACAUCGAGUACUCCACGGUGAAGGAGCUGCUUGCCGGGGCCUCCCCCGACGCCUCCCAAGUCCAUCGCGCAUCUUCGUCGAAGAUGACGUCACGCGAGACAUGCACACGCUUUGAGAUAGGGUCGUACAUCUUGUACGCCUUAGAGCCCGUCUCGUAGCCCAUGAACACCAUUAGGGUGCUCCUGUCAUCGAACUUCUUCAGCUGUGGGCGCGCUGUCUUGACAUGCCCGACGCAGCCAAAGGUGCGGAGGAAGCGCACAUCGGGCUUCCUCCCGUACCACGCCUCAUAAAUCGUCUUGCCAUCGACGCUCCUUGUGAAGGAGCGGUUGAGGAUGAAGACGGCUGUGAGCACGGCCUCCCCCCAAUACGUGCUCGGCACCUGCAUUGCCUUGAGCAUGCAGCGUGCCAUCCCGAGCACCGUCCGGUUCCUCCGCUCAACGAUGCCGUUCUGCUGCGGCGAGUAAGGGGCUGUAAGGUGACGUUGCACCCCUUUCUCGUCGCAGUGCUUGUAGAACGUGGCCGAUGUGAACUCGCCGCCACGGUCCGUGCGCAGCGCGCGUAGCUUGUGGCCACACUCGACCUCUGCUGCCGCUUGCUGCUUGACGAUGGCUCGCUCCACCUCAUCCUUGGAGGCGAGGAGCAGCACCCACAUGAACCUGCUAUAGUCGUCGACGAGCAGCAGGAUGUAGCGACGCCCUCCUGGCGUUGCCGGGGUGAUUGGGCCGCAGAGGUCCCCGUGAACCAGCUCCAGGGGUUUCUGCACCCGAUAGCGUGCCUUCUCGGGAAAUGGUAGACGCCGCUGCUUCCCCGCAAGACACGCAUCACACAGCUCAUUGGCGUGCUCGAUGUGAGGUAGCCCGCGAACGAGAUUGCCUCGCGCCAUCUUCCGCAACCCGUCAAAGUGCUGGUGUCCUAGCCGGGCAUGCCAACGCCAUGCGUCGGAGACAUGCAUGACCCACGGCAAGGCACACAGGAUGCACAGGUCGAAAGAAGAACUUGUAGAGGCGGUUCGGCGAGCGGGUUACCUCGAUGAGAAGCCUCUUCUGCUGGUCGCACACGGUGAGAACACCGCGCCGGAUGCCGAUGUCGAACCAGCCCUCGUUGAGCUGUCUGACACUCACGACGCUGCUCUUGAGCGCCGGGAUCAAGUAGACGUCCGUGAAUGCCCUGUGAUCACCCCCUUUGUCGGCGAAGAUGACGGUCCCGCGCUCGUGGAUCUCCACCACGGAUCCGUCCGUGAACCGCACCUUCGCGGUGAUUGAGCGUUCCAGCUCCGCGAACGCGUCGACCGAACCAGUCAUGUGGUUCAUGGUGCCGGUGUCGAGGAACCAACCCUCACUUUGCUUGCCGCCUGCAAGCAUGCGUGUGGUCACGGCUCUCUCCUCGUUGAGGAAGACGUAGCCGCACACACAUGCCGUGGUGAGCCAUCUCCCGUCAACACGGUGGUCCCCGAACACUUUGUUGUCGGGGUGUGGCUGAUCUGAGUCUCCGUGCGCUCCUGCACGGAGUCGAUGGUCGCCAGCAUCAUGGUCGGAGCAUGGUCCGCCAUAUGCGUUGUUGCCGCGCCAACUUGCGCGACCUCGUCGGGUCCCGAGUUCGGGGCCGCCGCCGCUGGGGUGUGGCUCCCCCAAACCCGAGCCUUCAUCGCCUCCCAGUCGACAGGCCCCGAGAACAUCGUUGUCGAGGUGUGGCCUGUCACUCGAGUAAUGGUUCCCGUGGAUGGGUUCCGUGCCUCCUACACGGAAUGGGUGGUUGUCGGAGCCGUGGUCGCGAGAGACGUUGUGCUCUCUUGCACGGGCUCGACUCUUGCCAGCAUCAUUGCUGGCCCACCGUCCACGUCAUCUUGGACGAGGUUUGUCGUUGCCGCGGCUGCCUCAUCGGCUUUCCUCCUGCGGCAAUCCCGGAUCCAGUGACCCGACAUGUUGCAGUAGCGGCACUUGCCACCGUUGCUAGCGCCUCGCCCUGCCUGGCUUGGCUUGCGACCGCGGUUGCCGCCGCCGCUCUGGGCACGGCCUCCGCCUCUGCCGUGACCUCUGCUUCCCGUGGGGGCGCCUCUCCCACUUCUGGAAGAGCCGUCGCGGCCGCGCUGCUGAAGCUGCGCGUCCCACUGCUCCCUGGUGAGCAGUAGUUCGCCGCCAGCACGGUUGUCGGCUUCGUCGCCGCGCUCCUCGAUGACCUUCAGCCGCCCUACCAGCUCCUCGAUCGUCAUGGUGGAGAGAUCCACCAAACUCUCGAUGGACCAGGCCAGUUGCUUGUACUGCCUGGGGACGACGCGGAGGAACUUGAGAAUCACCAUCUUGUUGUCGAUGUGAUCUCCUAGUGUUGCGAGCUCGUUGACGAGACCUUGCAGCUGCAAGGCGAAGUCGUCGACUUGCUCACCGGCCUUGAAUCGGAUCUCCUCGUACUGGAGGCACAAGGUCUGGGCCUUCGACUCCCGUACGCGCUCCACGCCAAUGCGCAGAGUCUUGAUGGUGUCCCAUGCUUCCUUGGCCGUCUCCUUGGCGCCAAGGGUGAGCACCAUCUCCUCUGGGACGGAGCGCAAGAUCGCCUCCAUCGCUAGCCGGUCCUCCUCGUACUCGACAUCGCCGGUUUCCACGGCUUCCCACAUAUGUUGCGCCUCCAUGAUGACUUUCAUCAGGAUGGACCAACUGGGAUAGUUGGUCCGCGUGAGGACAGGGAAGGAGGUACUGGACAUGCCCACAUCUCGCACGGAGCACGGCGCACCCAGCUCACCUCCCGGCCUGCCUCGCAGCGCGAGCGUGUCUGCCGCACGGGUGUCCUCAGCCGAGCUCUGCUCAGCGGUCUUGGAACCGUCGUCGGCGACGCCUCCUUUCAACAUAUGCUUCGGCAUAACCUGAGGCUCUGAUGCCAAUUGUUAGCCCAGAACUACUGAGACCAGAGGGUCCUGACUAUCUAGUGGUAGUACUUGCACUCAACUCACUAGUAACACAUGUACUAAGAAGACUAGGCCCGUAAGGGUUCGAUUUUUCUGGUUUUUUUGGAAUUUUUUUACCCCUGCUGAUUGAGCGACACGUGUGCACGGUGGCUUUCAUGAAAUGGUUGAUCGCCCUCUUGGUUUCUCACUUGGACUGUGCAUGUUUCUUCUAGAGGUGCAUGGGCUUAUAUUGUCUCAUGUGGAAAGAUGGUAUGACUGCAUGGGCUGAUUUUGUCUCAUGUGAGAAAAAAAUAUUAGCUGCAUGGGAUGCUGUAUGGGCUGGUAUACGUGUGCUGCUACAUGGCUCAUGCAUGCAUGCAUGUGUCCACCUUUGCAUGUUUGGAGUUCCACGUUUGCACAUCGUUUGUGUUCUGGGUCCUUCUUUGCUUGCCUAUAAGUAGCUCCUUGCUGCGUUCUUCUCUUAUGUGUCAAACCACUCCUCACAUAUAGGCCCAUCUCUCCUCCUGAUGCUGCCCUCCAGCCUCCACCCAAGAUCCCAUAGUGCGCCUGGUUGCCGCUCCAUCUGGCCGGCCGGGAGGUGCGUGCAAGCUACACCAUGGCCUCCAAGGCGGAUACAUGGUGGUGGCCUUCCCAUGGUCCAAGGUGGCACGCUUGCAGUUGGCGCUGGAUAUCUCGCUGCCCUGCCGCUCUCCAUCCUAAUCGACUCCCCUCGGUCUUCCCCAACUUCGGCCCCGGCAACAGGUCCCCUUCAUCUCCCUUUCCUCUCCUCUGGUGUGCGUGGUUUCCUUGUACGAGUAGACGAGUUAUUAGUACUAGAAUUUCAUCAGAUCUAAAGUUGGGUGCAUAUGCUACAAAUUCUUAAUCUAAGAAGAAUGUUCAGGCAUUGUGUGCAUGUUUGCGCUGAGGACACAAAUUUGGGGGUCCAGCUCCUUGUGUGAAUGUGCAAGGAAUUCGGAACUUGCAUCUUUAAUAUGACAUGGUAUAUUUAUUCUUAAUCUCUCCAUUACGUUUUGUGUUCCAUUUUUCUCGAUGGAAGUAAUUGUGGUUUACUUUCACAUGGUUUUUAAACAAAUAAACCAUGAUGUGCUGAAUAGCUGACAUGCAGAGGAAAUGGUACAGCUUGAUGACUAUUUUACUACUAAAUUAUUCUCAAGUAUUUAUUGUUCCUUUUGUGAUAGUUUUCUCUCUCCUAAAAAUAAAAUGAAUAAUUUUUAAUUCUUUGAACAAGUUUGCCUAAAUUAGGGCGCUCAGUCAUUGAGGCAUUAUCAAUUUCUUUUAGAAGCUUCGCAAAAUCCGCUCUUGUACUAAAGAAAUCUAAUGUAGAUUUGUUAGCCUUAUAGGGUACUAUAUGGUGAACACAUGAUAUUAAAUAUACAGUAAAUUGCACUGUGAAGUGAGUAUGUAUAUACUAUCCACACAGGAUUGCCAUUUUGGAGAUGUUGCUGGGAUCAUCAUGGAUUGGGAUGCAUUCUGAUAAUAAGAUAUUAGGUAUUGAUAUGUGAUAUGUAUGUCACACUUGACUUCAUCAUCCUUUGUUUUUAGAUGUAUUCUUUAGGCAUACAUUAAUGUGGUAGCUUGGUCAUAUUCUGUAGCUAAUUUAGUCACCAAAUACUCGGAUUUUUUCCCGACUCCCAUUAUAAAGAACUUCCACUUGCCAUCUCUAUAUGGAUUUUCUUUUUGCUACCGAUUUUGGCUAAAGGUUUUUCGGCUCUCAUCUCUAUAUGGAUAUGCUUUUUUCAGGUUAGUAGUUUAGGAGUUCCUGCCAACACUAGUUUUUGGAAGUUAUACUCCCUUCACCAGUUGGGCUUAACAAGGACAUAAUUAAUUCGCUGUUGGUAAUUAGAAGGGAAAAAAAUCUGGUUGGAGAAAACUUCUCUUUUUCUUAAUUGUUUGCUUCAUAAUUUUAGUAAUCUUUUUUUCAUUUUUUUUCAGGUUAGUAGUAUGGGAGUACCUGUCAAGACUGACUUUUGGAAGUUAUGCUAGCCUCAUCAGUUGGGCUUUCUAUACAAAACUAGACUCAAUAUAAUUUAUUUUGGUGCUUGCGAUGAGUAUUAGACAGAGGGGUGAUGACCACAUAGUUCACACAGUGUAUCUGUUCAUGUAUGUCAUUAAUUAUCUAAUUAGACAAAACAACUCUCUCUGUAUGGUGUUUGUGAUGAUGCUGUCAAUUCACUAAACACUAAAAUACCAGGUUGUGAUUUUCAAAUCUAGCAAAUUAAUUUUCUCUAUUGCUUCUUUUCCAGGCAGAAGUUUUAGUCUAUUCUGUUCCAUGAGUCUUACUGUCAAAAAAAAAUAUGGUAGCAUCAGAAGUUGUCCCCAUCAGAUAGAACACUGCCUAAUAGAUUCAUUCUAUUACUGUAUAGCCAUGGUGACAAAAAUAUUCAGAUAACAAGAAACAAUUCUGUCAAAUAUUCUCAGCGGAGAUACUGUUGCGGUCUAUAAGUAAAAAAAUGUUAAUUAUUUAAUUAAACAGAAAACUAUGUUAUUUAUACCAACAGAUGCUAAACAAUCAGACUACCUGACACAAAAGUAUAUAUAUACAUUAGUUAAAUUUCAUUCCAAAAAUAGAUGAUGUAGUGGUAGAUGUUAAUCGUACAAGAACACGAGGAUGACAAACAUAAAUUAAUCACAUAUAUUAUCAUCACAGGUCGAUCUAACUGGUGGUAGUUAUUCUUUGCACUGAAAACAAAGUGGAAUCAAACGAUUCAAACAACCAAAAAGAAGGAAACAAAGGAUGCUUACGGAUCUGAAUGAGUUAGGGCGCUCCACUACUUGCAAGUAGAUCCAGCGACUCAGUGGCAGAGCUACUCUCGGCGACGCCAGGAAGCCACCCUGGUUCUACCCGAAAGUCAUCACUGAAAUUACAACAAGAAAUAUGAAGUAAUUAGUAUUUUUUCCAUGGACAUAUGACCGCCGGCCAGUUGCCUUUGUGCUCAUGCCGGUGUUGUACCAAUGAAUUGACUCCAUCACUGUAGCGACCUGGAAGAACAUCAACUGUUUGUGGAGUUGGGAAUUUCUUCUCCGAGGAGAGAAAUGUUUAGUACGUCUCCAAAUCACUCCACUGUCCUGCCGGACAAAGAUGAGUUUAAUAUGGCCCGUCGACACAGAGAAGGCCUGCUAUCACAUACCGCUUAUUGGGCUGUAACAUUAGUCUCAUUCCAACGCCACAUAUCCAACAAAGAAGCUUAUACCAAAGAGAGAGCUACAAAUUGGAUGAUUGAUCCCUAUGAAAUUGAUGUUACACAUAUUUUAUUUCAAAAAGGGGAUUACCCGGGCCUCUGCAUCAAAUGAUGCACACAUUCAUAUUAUUAAACAUAAAUCAAGUUCCAAACACGGAGUUCCAGACUUAUUUCAUCAAGUAGUUUUCUUGUAUUUGAACUCAAUUCCUUCAAUUUCUCUCAGCCGUGAGCUUAUAUCAGCGGUGAGCUCAUCUACAUUCUGCGUUGUGAACUCAUUUAGUUUUAUCUAUGAACUCAUUAGGUGAACUCAUCACGGUUUUUUGGCAGAUGUGAACUUAUUUCAUAUUCAUCUAUGAAUCAUUGUUGAAGUGUCUUUAUUGUUGGAAAUAUGCCCUACAGGCAAUAAUAAAUUGAUUAUUAUUAUAUUUCCUUGUUCAUGAUAAUCGUUUAUUAUCCAUGCUAGAAUUGUAUUGAUAGGAAACUCAGAUACAUGUGUGGAUACAUAGACAACACCAUGUCCCUAGUAAGCCUCUAGUUGACUAGCUCGUUGAUCGAUAGAUGGUUACGGUUUCCUGACCAUGGACAUUGGAUGUCGUUGAUAACGGGAUCACCUCAUUAGGAGAAUGAUGUGAUGGACAAGCCCCAAUCCUAAGCCUAGCACAAGAUCAUGUAGUUCGUAUGCUAAAGCUUUUCUAAUGUCAAGUAUCAUUUCCUUAGACCAUGAGAUUGUGCAACUCCCGAAUACCGUAGGAGUGCUUUGGGUGUGCCAAACGUCACAACGUAACUGGGUGGCUAUAAAGGUACACUACAGGUAUCUCCGAAAGUGUCUGUUGGUUUGGCACAAAUCGAGACUGGGAUUUGUCACUCCGUGUAAACGGAGAGGUAUCUCUGGGCCCACUCGGUAGGACAUCAUCAUAAUGUGCACAAUGUGAUCAAGGAGUUGAUCACGGGAUGAUGUGUUACGGAACGAGUAAUGAGACUUGCCGGUAACAAGAUUGAACAAGGUAUCGGGAUACCGACGAUCGAAUCUCGGUCAAGUAUCGUACCGCUAGACAAAGGGAAUUGUAUACGGGAUUGAUUAAGUCUUUGACAUCGUGGUUCAUCCGAUGAGAUCAUCGUGGAACAUGUGGGAGCCAACAUGGGUAUCCAGAUCCUGCUGUUGGUUAUUGACCAAAGAGUUAUCUCGGUCAUGUCUGCAUGGUUCCCGAACCCGUAGGGUCUACACACUUAAGGUUCGAUGACGCUAGGGUUAUAGGGAAUAGAUGUACAUGGUUACCGAAUGUUGUUCGGAGUCCCGGAUGAGAUCACGGACGUCACGAGGAGUUCCGGAAUGGUCCGGAGGUAAAGAUUUAUAUAUGGGAAGUCCUGUUUUGGUCACCGGAAAAGUUUCGGGUUUUAUCGGUAACAUACCGGGACCACCAGGAGGGUCCCGGGGGUCCACCAAGUGGGGCCACCGGCCCCGGAGGGCUGCAUGGUCCAAGUGUGGGAGGGGACCAGCCCCAGGUGGGCUGGUGCGCCCCCCCACAAGGGCCCAAGGCGCCUAGGGUUUGGGGAGGGGGCGCCCCACCUAGCUUGGGGGGCAAGUUUCCCCUCUCCCGCCUUGGCCGCCCCACCAGAUGGGAUCUGGGCUGGCCGCCGCCCCUAGGGUGGAACCCUAGGUGGGGGCGCAGCCCCCUCCCUCUCCCCAAUAUAUAGUUGAGGUCUUUGGGGCUGCCAACACAUGAGUUUUGACCUCUUCCUGGAGCAGCCCUACCUCUCUCCCUCCUCGUCUCUUGCGGUGCUUGGCGAAGCCCUGCUGGAGUACCACGCUCCUCCACCACCAUCACGCCGUCGUGCUGCUGCUGGAUGGAUUCUUCCUCAACCUCUCCUUCUCUCCUUGAUGGAUCAAGGCAUGGGAGACGUUACCGGGCUGUACAUGUGUUGAACGCGGAGGUGUCGUCCGUUCGGCACUAGGAUCUCCGAUGAUUUGGAUCACGACGAGUACGACUCCUUCAACCCCGUUCUCUUGAACGCUUCCGCUUAGCAAUCUACAAGGGUAUGUAGAUGCACUCUCCUUCCCCUCGUUGCUAGUCUCUCCAUAGAUAAAUCUUGGUGACACGUAGGAAAAUUUUGUAUUUCUGCUACGUUCCCCAACAGUGGCAUCAUGAGCUAGGCUUAUUGCGUAGAUUCUAUGCACGAGUAGAACACAAAGUAGUUGUGGGCAUUGAUUUUGUUCAAUAUGCUUACCGUUACUAGUACAAUCUUGUUUCGGCGGUAUUGUGGGAUGAAGCAGCCCAUACCGACCUUACACGUACUCUUAUGUGAGACAGGUUCCACCGACUGACAUGCACUAGUUGCAUAAGGUGGCUAGCGGGUGCCAGUCUCUCCCACUUUAGUCGGAUCGGAUUCGAUGAAAAGGGUCCUUAUGAAGGGUAAAUAGCAAUUGGCAUAUCACAUUGUGGUUUUUGCGUAGGUAAGAAACAUUCUUGCUAGAAACCCAUAGCAGCCACGUAAAACAUGCAAUCAACAAUUAGAGGACGUCUAACUUGUUUUUGCAGGGUAUGCUAUGUGAUGUGAUAUGGCCAAGAAGAAUGUGAUGAAUGAUAUGUGAUGUAUGAGAUUGAUCAUGUUCUUGUAAUAGGAAUCACGACUUGCAUGUCGAUGAGUAUGACAACCGGCAGGAGCCAUAGGAGUUGUCUUUAUUUAUUGUAUGACAUGCGUGUCAUUGAACAACGCCAUGUAAUUACUUUACUUUAUUGCUAACCGGUAGCCAUAGUAGUAGAAGUAAUAAGUUGGCGAGACAACUUCAUGGAGACACAAUGAUGGAGAUCAUGAUGAUGGAGAUCAUGGUGUCAUGCCGGUGACGAUGAUGAUCAUGGAGCCCAAGAUGGAGAUCAAAGGAGCUAUAUGAUAUUGGCCAUAUCAUGUCACUGUUUUUUUGAUUGCAUGUGAUGUUUAUCAUGUUUUUGCAUCUUAUUUGCUUAGAACGACGGUAGUAAAUAAGAUGAUCCCUCAUUAAAAUUUCAAGAAAGUGUUCCCCCUAACUGUGCACCGUUGCGAAAGUUCGUCGUUUCGAAGCACCACGUGAUGAUCGGGUGUGAUAGAUUCUUACGUUCGAAUACAACGGGUGUUGAUGAGCCUAGCAUGUACAGACAUGGCCUCGGAACACAUGUGAAACACUUAGGUUAACUUGACGAGCCUAGCAUGUACAGACAUGGCCUCGGAACACAAGAGACCGAAAGGUCGAGCAUGAGUCGUAUGGUAGAUACGAUCAACAUGAAGAUGUUCACCGAUGAUGACUAGUCCGUCUCACGUGAUGAUCGGACACGGCCUAGUUGACUCAGAUCAUAUAAUCACUUAGAUGACUAGAGGGAUGUCUAUCUGAGUGGGAGUUCAUAAGAUGAACUUAAUUAUCCUGAACAUAGUCAAAAGGUCUUCGCAAAUUAUGUCGUAGCUCGCGCUUCAGUUCUACUGUUUAGAUAUGUUCCUAGAGAAAAUUGAGUUGAAAGUUAAUAGUAGCAAUUAUGCGGACUAAGUCCGUAAACUGAGGAUUGUCCUCAUUGCUUCAUAGAAGGCUUAUGCCCUUAAUGCACCACUCAGUGUGCUGAACCUCGAACGUCGUCUGUGGAUGUUGCAAACAUCUGACAUACACAUUUUGAUAACUACGUGAUAGUUCAGUUAAACGGUUUAGAGUUGAGGCACCGAAGACGUUUUAAAAUGUCGCGAAACAUAUGAGAUGUUUCGGGGGCUGAAAUUAGGAUCUCAGGCUCGUGCCCACGUCAAGAGGUAUAAGACCUCCGACGAUUUUUUUAGCCUGCAAACUAAGGGAGAAAAGCUCAAUUGUUGAGCUUGUGCUCAGAUUGUCUGAGUACAACAAUCAUUUGAAUCAAGUGGGAGUUGAUCUUCCAGAUGAGAUAGUGAUGUUUCUCCGAAGUCAUUACCACCAAGCUGCUAGAGCUUCGUGAUGAACUAUAAUAUAUCAGGGACAUAUAUGAUGAUCCUUGAGAUAUCCGUGAUGUUUGACACCACAAAAGUAGAAAUCAAGAAGGAGCAUCAAUUAUUGAUGGUUGGUGAAACCACUAGUUUCAAGAAGGGCAAGGGCAAGAAGGGAUACUUUAUGAAACGGCAAAUCAGCUGCUGCUCUAGUGAAGAAACCCAAGGUUGAACCCAAACCCGAGACUAAGUGCUUCUGUAAUAAGGAGAACAACCACUGAAGCAGAAUUACCCUAGAUACUUGGUAGAUGAGAAGGCUGGCAAGGUCGAUAGAAGUAUAUUGGAUAUACAUUGUGUUAAUGUGUACUUUACUAGUACGCCUAGUAGCACCAUGGUAUUAGAUACCGGUUCGGUUGCUAAGUGUUAGUAAACUCGAAAUAAAAGGCUGCGGAGUAAACGGAGACUAGCUAAAGGUGAGCUGGCGAUAUGUGUUGGAAGUUUUUCCCAAGCUUGAUGUGAUCAAGCAUCGCAUGCUCCCUCUACCAUCGAGAUUGGUGUUUGCGUUGAGCAUAGACGUGAUUGGAUUAUGUCUAUCGCAAUACGGUUAUUCAUUUAAGGAGAAUAAUGGUUACUCUGUUUAUUUGAAUAAUACCUUCAAUGGUCUUGCACCUAAAAUGAAUGGUUUAUUGAAUCUCGAUCGUAGUGAUACACAUUUUCAUGCCAAAGGUAUAAGAUAGUAAUGAUAGUACCACAGAAAUGUGGCACUGCAAUUUGAGUCAUAUCGGUGUAAAACGCAUGAAGAAGCUCCAUGUUGAUGGAUCUUUGGGCUCACUCGUUUUUGAAAAGUUUGAGACAUGCGAACCAUGUCUAUUGGUGUAUAUGCAUGAAGAAACUCCAUGCAAAUGGACCGUUUGGACUCACUUGAUUUUGAAUCACUUGAGACAUGCAAAUCAUACCACAUGGGCAAGAUGACUGAAAGCCUCGUUUUCAGUAAAAUGGAACUAGAAAGCAACUUGUUGGAAGUAAUACAUUUUGAUGUGUGCAGUCCAAUGAGUGCUGAGGCGUGUAGUGGAUAUCGUUAUGUUCUUACUUCACAGAUGAUUUGAGUAGAUGUUGGGUAUAUUUACUUGAUGAAUCACGAGUCUGAAUUAUUGAAAGGUUCAAGUAAUUUCAGGGUGAAGGUGAGAGAUCGUCAUGACAAGAGGAUGAAAUAUCUAUGAUAUGAUCAUAGAGAUGAAUAUCUGAAUUACGAGUUUGGCACAGAAUUAAGACAUUGUGGAAAUUGUUUCACAACUAAUACAGCCUGGAACACCGUAGUGUGAUGGUGUGUCCGAACAUUAUAACUGCACCCUAUUGGAUAUGAUGCAUACCAUGAUGUCUCUUAUCGAAUUACCAUGAUAGUUUAUGGGUUAGGCAUUAGAGACAACCACAUUCACUUUAAAUAGGGCACCACAUAAUUCCGAUGAGAUGACACCGUAUGAACUAUGGUUUAGAGAAACCUAAGCUGCCAUUUCUUAAAAGUUUGGGGCUGCGACGCUUAUGUGAAAAAGUUUCAGGCUGAUAAGCUCGAACCCAAAGCGGAUAAAUGCAUCUUCAUAGGACACCCAAAACAGUUGGGUAUACCUCCUGUCUCAGAUCCGAAAGCAAUAAGGGAUUGUUUCUAGAAUCGGGUCCUUUCUCGAGGAAAAGUUUCUCUCGAAAGAAUUGAGUGGGAGGAUGGUGGAGACUUGAUGAGGUUAUUGAAACGUCUCUUCAAGUAGUGUGUGGCAGGGCACAGGGAGUUGUUCCUGUGGCACCUACACCAAUUGAAGUAGAAGCUUAUGAUAGUGAUCAUGAAACUUCAGAUCAAGUCACUACCAAACCUUGUGGGAUGACAAGGAUGCGUACUACUUCAGAGUGGUACAUAAUUCUGUCUUGGAAGUCAUGUUGCUAGACAACAAUGAACCUACGAGCUAUGGAGAAGCGAUGGUGGGCCUGGAUUCCAAAAUGGCUCGAGGCCAUAUAAUCCGAGAGAGGAUCCAUAUAUGAAAACAAAGUGUAGACUUUGGAAGAACUACUUGAUGGUCGUAAGGCUGUUAGGUACAUAUGGAUUUUAAAAGGAAGACGGACAAUGAUGGUAAGUAUCACCAUUAAGAAAGCUCGACUUGUCGUUAAGAUGUUUUUUCUGACAAGUUCAAGGAGUUGACUACGAUGAGAAUUUCUCACCCGUAGCGAUGCUUAAGUCCGUCGGAAUCAUGUUAGCAUUAACUGUAUUUUUCGAUUAUGAAAUCUUACAGAUGGAUGUCAAAACAAGUUUUCUUACCAAGUUUUCGUAAAAAAAGUUGUAUGUGUUACAAUAGAAGGUUUUGUCAAUCCUGAAAGAUGCUAACAAGUAUGCAAAGCUCCAGCAAUCCUUCUAAGGACUGGAGUAAGCAUCUCGGAGUUGGAAUGUAUGCUUUGAUGAGAUGAUCAAAGAUUUUGGGUGUAUGCAAAGUUUAUGAGAAACUUGUAUUUCCAAACAAGUGAGUGGGAGCACUAUAGAAUUUUUGAUGAAUAUAUGUUGUUGACAUAUUGUUGAUCAGAAAUGACGUAGAAUUUCUGGAAAGCAUGCAGAGUUAUUUGAAAAGUGUUUUUCAAUGGAAAACCUGGAUUAAGCUACUUGAACGUUGAGCAUCAAGAUCUAUGAGGAUAGAUCAAAACGCUUAAUGGUACUUUCAAAUGAGCACAUACCUUGACAUGAUCUUGAAGGUGUUCAAGAUGGAUCAGUCAAAGAAGGAGUUCUUGCCUGAGUUGUAAGGUAUGAAGUUAAGACUUAAAGCUCGACCACGGCAGAAGAAAGAGGAAGGACGAAGGUCGUCCCCUAUGCUUUUGUCAUAGGCUCUAUACGGUGUGACAUGCUGGGUACCGCACCUGAUGUGUGCCUUGCCACAUAUCUGGCAAGAGGGUACAGAGGUAAGCUAGGAGUAGAUCACUAGAUAGCGGUCUAAAUUAUCCUUAAAGGAAUAAGGAUAUGUUUCUUGGUUAUGAAGGUGAUAAAGAGUUCAACGUAAAGAGUUACGUCGAUGCAAGCUUAACACCUAUCCGGAUAGCUCUGAGUAAAGAUACCGGAUAUGUAUAAUGGAGCAACAAUUUAGAAUAGCUCCAAGUAGAACAAUUAUUUGAAAUGGCUCCAAAUGUAGCGUAGUAGUUGCAUCCACAAGAAGACAUAGAAAUUUACGAAGUACAUACGGAUCUGAAUGUUGCAGACCCGUUGACUCAAACCUCUCUCACAAGCAUAACAUGAUCAAACCCAGAACUCUUUGGGUGUUAGUCACAUGGGGAUGUGACCUUGAGUGUUAAUCACAUAGCGAUGUGAACUGGAUUAUUGACUCUAGUGCAAGUGGGAGACUGUUGGAAAUAUGCCCUAGAGGCAAUAAUAAAUUGAUUAUUAUUAUAUUUCCUUGUUCAUGAUAAUCGUUUAUUAUCCAUGCUAGAAUUGUAUUGAUAGGAAACUCAGAUACAUGUGUGGAUACAUAGACAACACCAUGUCCCUAGUAAGCCUCUAGUUGACUAGCUCGUUGAUCGAUAGAUGGUUACGGUUUCCUGACCAUGGACAUUGGAUGUCGUUGAUAACGGGAUCACAUCAUUAGGAGAAUGAUGUGAUGGACAAGACCCAAUCCUAAGCCUAGCACAAGAUCAUGUAGUUCGUAUGCUAAAGCUUUUCUAAUGUCAAGUAUCAUUUCCUUAGACCAUGAGAUUGUGCAACUCCCGAAUACCGUAGGAGUGCUUUGGGUGUGCCAAACGUCACAACGUAACUGGGUGGCUAUAAAGGUACACUACAGGUAUCUCCGAAAGUGUCUGUUGGGUUGGCACGAAUCGAGACUGGGAUUUGUCACUCCGUGUAAACGGAAAGGUAUCUCUGGGCCCACUCGGUAGGAGAUCAUCAUAAUGUGCACAAUGUGAUCAAGGAGUUGAUCACGGGAUGAUGUGUUACGGAACGAGUAAAGAGACUUGCCGGUAACGAGAUUGAACAAGGUAUCGGGAUACCGACGAUCGAAUCUCGGGCAAGUAUCAUACCGCUAGACAAAGGGAAUUGUAUACGGGAUUGAUUAAGUCCUUGACAUCGUGGUUCAUCCGAUGAGAUCAUCGUGGAACAUGUGGGAGCCAACAUGGGUAUCCAGAUCCCGCUGUUGGUUAUUGACCAAAGAGUUAUCUCGGUCAUGUCUGCAUGGUUCCCGAACCCGUAGGGUCUACACACUUAAGGUUCGAUGACGCUAGGGUUAUAGGGAAUAGAUAUACGUGGUUACCGAAUGUUGUUCGGAGUCCCGGAUGAGAUCCAGGACGUCACGAGGAGUUCCGGAAUGGUCCGGAGGUAAAGAUUUAUAUAUGGGAAGUCCUGUUUUGGUCACCGGAAAAGUUUCAGGUUUUAUCGGUAACAUACUGGGACCACCAGGAGGGUCCCGGGGGUCCAUCAAGUGGGGCCACCGGCCCCGGAGGGCUGCAUGGGCCAAGUGUGGGAGGGGACCAGCCCCAGGUGGGCUAGUGCGCCCCCCCACAAGGGCCCAAGGCGCCUAGGGUUUGGGGAGGGGGCGCCCCACCUAGCUUGGGGGGCAAGUUUCCCCUCUCCCCCCCCCCCUUGGCCGCCCACCAGAUGGGAUCUGGGCUGGCCGCCGCCCCUAGGGUGGAACCCUAGGUGGGGGCGCAGCCCCCUCCCUCUCCCCUAUAUAUAGUUGAGGUCUUUGGGGCUGCCAACACAUGAGUUUUGACCUUUUCCUGGCGCAGCCCUACCUCUCUCCCUCCUCGUCUCUUGCGGUGCUUGGCGAAGCCCUGCUGGAGUACCACGGUCCUCCACCACCACCACGCCGUCGUGCUGCUACUGGAUGGAGUCUUCCUCAACCUCUCCUUCUCUCCUUGCUGGAUCAAGGCAUGGGAGACGUCACCGGGCUGUACGUGUGUUGAACGCGGAGGUGCCGUCCGUUCGGCACUAGGAUCUCCAGUGAUUUGGAUCACGACGAGUACGACUCCUUCAACCCCGUUCUCUUGAACGCUUCCGCUUAGCGAUCUACAAGGGUAUGUAGAUGCACUCUCCUUUCCCUCGUUGCUGGUCUCUUCAUAGAUAGAUCUUGGUGACACGUAGGAAAAUUUUGAAUUUCUGCUACGUUCCCCAACAUGUAUAUCUCUCCCAUGCCAAUGUACAAAAAUUUGAGGUCUACAUACUUUUUCCACUUCUACCUACAAUUCCAUUGUUGUCUUUGAAUAAGCUACAGCAAGUGCAACAAAACAGAUUGCAACAAGUAGCUUAUGGACUGAAAUUUGUGGUAUUAUUCAUUUGUCGUAUUGUCGCUCAGUUCAUCCUGGUUGUGAAGCUAAACGUGACAUGCUAUUCUUGAUGUAAUUUCCAAAUUGCAAUCCAUGAUCAAGCAAAAGACUACAAUAAAUGUGACUUACAUGUUGCUUGCAUUCAACACCUUCAGGACCUUCACACGCAUCCAUCUCCUCCUCCGGCCGUUGCUGCCAUUAAGCGACUUGCUCAGGACCUGCACAAGGCAUCCACCUUCUCUUCAGCACCAGUCUCGCCACUAGAAUGCUUCUCCAGCAGGGGAGGGCGAUCUGCGCCGAUGCGCGCAGGGGAGGGCAAGCACCCGCGGAGAGCUGCGCUGUCGCGCGCGGGCGUGGGGGAGAACCCGUGGCAAGCUGCGGUGGCUUGUGUAGGUAUCCGCGAGGCGAGGACGAGCUGCGCCGGCGCCUACAGACAUGGACGAGCACCGGCGAGGAACCACAGUGGCUCGCGCAGGCAUCAGCAAGGCAUGGGCCAUCGGCGGGGGAGCUACGGUUGCUCGCACACGCGUGGGCAAGCUAUGGCGCAGAGAUGCGGUGGCUUCCGCAAGCAGCAGUGGGGUACGGCGACGAGCUAGCCCAAGAGCAAUCCUUAUCCAACCAGUCCACACACAUCAGAUAAGGUUAGAUAGCAUCAGGGGCACUUUGGUCCUUUCAAGUGCUAGAAAAUGGAAAAGAAAAAAAAGAAAUGGCAUGAUAAUGAAAGUGCACUGAACUGGGUGGCAUUUUUAUGAAGUAAGUACUAUUAAAAGCAGAAAAUAACCUAUUUUCUUCUAAAAAACAAUAUAAAUCUUACUUUUUUGUGUCGGGUUGGCUCACGCCCAAACUGGGCCACAAGGCAGUCGACUCCUUCAGACUAACUAAUAUCAAUUAGUUGAUUCAGCAUUUUUUUGCACUGCCUAGCCUCGAUUUGUUUUUCAUAUGAAGUGACUCACAUGCUAAUUAAUUCUUCCUCCCACCUCGCUUAUGUUGGUUUUGAUUAAUUAAAACUUAUUCUGCCAGUCAACACACACACACACACGAGGAGUACUGCUUGAGGCUGAUUGCCUUGCUUUGAUUGGAAUGGAAUGAUCUUACAGCGACG